AGUGCUGAGGCUGGGGCUAGUACCAAGUGUUAAGUCAAAAAAGUGACGUAAGGGUGCAACUGAGUAGUUGAUGAAAAAGUGAGCAGAAGAAGGCAGUGUUCAAGGAUGUCAGAAGGAGUGUUGGAUCAGGUGUGAAGAGCAGACUGAGCUGGCAGCUCACAAUGCCUGCGUCUCAAAGUCUCUGAAAUACCUGUGGGAGAGGGAUGAGCGUCCACCGAGAAAGGACCGGGCAGAGAAGUUACUCUGGGAGCUGAGCCUUGGCGAGCAGCCCAGACAUGCUCUCAGGCUGUAAGCAAAAGAAUACUGUGUACCACAAUGUUGAAUAUUUAGAGUUUCAUUCAUGGAUUCUCCAUUCUGCCUGCACUUGAAUGUUCUUUGACAGAGCUGGGAACCCAACCCUUCGACUUGCCACCCAGAAUUGCACAAUGUCGUAGCCUCACUCAGCACAUCAAAAACAUGUUCUGUGGGAUGUCAGCUAGAAUUUGCAAAAUCUCUUCUUGGUGAAUGUUUAUCACAUCAUCCUUCCGUGUGAUUGUAUAUUGCCUGUAUGGGGUAACUUGUUACUGCUGCUAUGUUUACUCCCACUGCUCUGGGUGGAGUUGCAUUGACGGUUGACCUAGAUGCACAUGAUUACAUGGUCUGUGUCCUUGCUGUUUGCCCAAUGUUCCUGUACCCUGAAUUUCCCAAUUAUAUGAGCCAAUACAUUUUGUUUUUGCUUAAGCCAGUUUGAGUUGGAUUUCUGUCACUGGCAGACAAAACAGUCCCAACUAAUGUCCCCAGUAAAGUUUGUUCAAGAAAGAGACUUUUCACCAGACUCUAGAUAUUCUGGCCUCAAUGGCUUUUCUUAAAAUGGAGAGUAAAAUUUAAAGGGUUAACAUAUAUAUUUUUUUCCUUGGUACCUAUGUAUGAAUGUAAAAUUAAAAUUAUUUUGUAAAAGUUUAGAAGGAUACACAUCAAACUAAUAGUAGUGGGUUACUUCUGGAGACAGAGUAAGCAGAGCAGAAUUGGAAGUAACAAUCAAAAGAGCUUUUAAUUUUAUCUGUAAUGUUCCAUGUUUAAGAACAUAGCUGUAAAUCUGAUUUUUAA